AGUGCCAUCGCGCGGAGAGGAGGGGGUGCGCUUCCGCGGGCGGGGCGCGGAGCCCGCCGUCUCGGAGGCCGCGGCUCGGCCCGGCACUGCGGAGGGCCGCUUGAUUUCCCGGAACCCAGGUCGCGCGGCUGCUAGGGCCGGAGCCGGUGGAUCCGAGCGGGUGCCACCAGCGGCGGCGCGCCGCCUCCCCCGGUGGGAGCGGUGGUUGGGCCAGGCUGCGGCAGAGCGUUCGCUCGGAGAUGGCGGAGCAGCCGCGACGCGGCCCGUGGCCCCGAAAGCAGGGAAGCCGGGCAGCCCCGGGACGCGGCGGAGCCCGGGGACAGCGGGGACGCCGCCCAGUCCUCCGGGUAUGAAGCUAAAAUGCAGCGGCUAAGAACGCGGCUCUGGAGCUUGACAGGCCUGACGUCGAAUCCCAGCCCUCCCACCAACUGAGCUGUGUGAUCCUGGGCAAGGUAGAGGGGAAGAGAUUGAACUUUGCUGACCUUUGAUGUGAGGCGCUCAGCCAGGGCCAAGGGGAGAGCCUGGCAAGAUUUGCAGCCUGAAGCCAUGGGCCAGGGGGCCAUGGUGACCUGAGACAAGUGGACUCUGUAUAGUUGCCCCCUGCUUCCCCUUCUACCUCCCCUACCCUAUGCUAAGGGGACUCGUCUCCACCUCGUAAAGGAAACUCCCCAAGGGAAUCCCUGUCCCCUAUUUUCCUAUCCUUCUACCCUUCCAAGACAGUCCUAGCCUAUAGAACUCCUACCUCCCAUCCCCUGAGGUGGUCCCCAUUCCUCCCUCCCUUCCUCCCCCCGCCAUGCUCCAGUUGUGGAAGGUGGUACGCCCAGCUCGGCAGCUGGAACUGCACCGCCUCAUACUGCUGCUGAUCGCUUUCAGCCUGGGCUCCAUGGGCUUCCUGGCUUAUUAUGUGUCCACCAGCCCUAAGGCCAAGGAACCCUUGCCCCUGCCCUUGGGAGACUGCAGCAGCGGUGGGGCAGCUGGUCCUGGCCCUGCACGGCCUCCAGUUCCACCUCGGCCCCCCAGGCCUCCAGAGACAGCUCGAACUGAACCCGUGGUCCUUGUGUUUGUGGAGAGUGCAUACUCACAGCUGGGGCAGGAAAUUGUGGCCAUCCUGGAGUCUAGUCGUUUUCGUUAUAGCACUGAGUUGGCACCUGGCCGAGGGGACAUGCCCACAUUGACUGAUAAUACCCAUGGCCGCUAUGUCUUGGUCAUUUAUGAGAACCUGCUCAAGUAUGUCAACCUGGAUGCCUGGAGUCGGGAACUGCUAGACCGGUACUGCGUGGAGUAUGGUGUGGGCAUCAUUGGCUUUUUCCGAGCCCACGAGCACAGCCUACUGAGCGCCCAGCUCAAGGGCUUUCCCCUUUUUUUACACUCAAACUUGGGGCUCCGGGACUACCAAGUGAAUCCUUCUGCCCCGCUACUGCAUCUCACACGCCCCAGCCGCCUAGAACCAGGGCCACUGCCUGGUGAUGACUGGACCAUCUUCCAAUCCAAUCAUAGUACAUAUGAACCAGUGCUUCUUGCCAGCCUUCGGCCAGCUGAGCCCGCAGUGCCAGGACCAGUUCUUCGUCGGGCCCGGCUUCCCACUGUGGUACAGGACCUGGGGCUUCAUGAUGGCAUCCAGCGGGUGCUCUUUGGACAUGGCCUUUCCUUCUGGCUCCACAAACUUAUCUUCGUUGAUGCUGUUGCAUACCUCACUGGCAAGCGCCUCUGCCUGGACCUUGACCGCUACAUCUUGGUAGACAUCGAUGACAUCUUUGUGGGCAAGGAAGGGACCCGCAUGAAGGUGGCUGAUGUUGAGGCUCUGUUGACCACCCAGAACAAACUCAGGACCUUAGUUCCCAACUUCACCUUCAACUUGGGCUUCUCGGGCAAGUUCUAUCAUACUGGGACAGAGGAGGAGGAUGCAGGGGACGACAUGCUGCUGAAGCACCGCAAAGAGUUCUGGUGGUUCCCCCACAUGUGGAGCCACAUGCAGCCACACCUGUUCCACAAUCGCUCCGUGCUGGCUGACCAGAUGAGGCUCAACAAACAGUUUGCUCUGGAGCAUGGGAUUCCCACGGACCUGGGGUAUGCUGUGGCCCCCCACCACUCGGGUGUGUACCCCAUCCACACGCAGCUCUAUGAGGCCUGGAAAUCCGUGUGGGGCAUCCAGGUGACCAGCACUGAGGAGUAUCCCCAUCUCCGCCCUGCCCGCUACCGCCGUGGCUUCAUUCACAAUGGCAUUAUGGUGCUGCCCCGGCAGACAUGUGGCCUCUUCACUCACACAAUCUUCUAUAAUGAGUAUCCUGGAGGCUCUCGUGAACUAGACCGGAGCAUCCGAGGUGGAGAGCUCUUUCUGACAGUGCUGCUUAAUCCGAUCAGCAUCUUUAUGACCCAUCUGUCCAAUUAUGGAAAUGACCGGCUGGGCCUAUACACCUUUGAGAGCUUGGUGCGCUUCCUCCAGUGUUGGACACGGCUGCGCCUACAGACCCUUCCUCCUGUCCCACUUGCACAGAAGUACUUUGAACUUUUCCCUCAGGAGCGAAGCCCCCUUUGGCAGAAUCCCUGUGAUGACAAGAGGCACAAAGAUAUCUGGUCCAAGGAGAAAACCUGUGAUCGUCUCCCGAAGUUCCUCAUUGUGGGACCCCAGAAAACAGGGACUACAGCUAUUCACUUCUUCCUGAGCCUGCACCCAGCUGUAACUAGCAGCUUCCCUAGCCCCAGCACAUUUGAGGAGAUUCAGUUCUUCAACAGCCCUAAUUACCACAAGGGUAUUGACUGGUACAUGGAUUUCUUCCCUGUUCCUUCCAAUGCCAGCACUGAUUUCCUAUUUGAAAAAAGUGCCACCUACUUUGACUCUGAAGUUGUACCACGGCGGGGGGCUGCCCUCCUGCCACGAGCCAAGAUCAUCACAGUGCUCACCAACCCUGCUGACAGGGCCUACUCCUGGUACCAGCAUCAGCGAGCCCAUGGAGACCCAGUUGCUCUGAACUAUACCUUCUAUCAGGUGAUUUCAGCCUCCUCCCAGACCCCUCUGGCACUACGCUCCCUGCAGAACCGCUGUCUUGUCCCUGGCUACUAUUCUACCCAUCUACAACGCUGGCUGACUUACUACCCCUCUGGACAGUUGCUGAUUGUGGAUGGGCAAGAGCUGCGUACCAACCCAGCAGCCUCAAUGGAGAGCAUCCAGAAGUUCCUGGGUAUCACACCCUUUCUGAACUACACACGGACCCUCAGGUUUGAUGAUGAUAAGGGAUUUUGGUGCCAGGGACUUGAAGGUGGUAAGACUCGCUGUCUAGGCCGGAGCAAAGGCCGGAGGUAUCCAGAUAUGGACACUGAGUCCCGUCUUUUCCUUACGGAUUUUUUCCGGAACCAUAAUUUGGAGUUGUCGAAGCUGCUGAGCCGGCUUGGACAGCCAGUGCCCUCGUGGCUUCGGGAAGAACUGCAGCAUUCCAGUCUGGGCUGAUGUCCCAGCCUCCCAUACCAGCAAAAUGCCCCCUGCUUCCCUAAGGGGCAGGUCCAGAGCAGGGCCCACAAGGGGGAUUAGAGUGGCCUGGCCCCUCCCCCUCUACCUCAGUAGCCCCCAGGCCUGAGAUGGCUGAGAAGGGAAGGGUAUCCUUUUCCCACAGUUCUGGGACAAAUAAAGGGGCUUCCUUUGGUACCCCACAUAAUAGUGCUAGGUACCUUUGACCCAUCAUCUUGGGAGGUGGGGAGGAAUGAGAGGGUCCAGGCAGGGUGUAGGGGAAUGUAUUAGUCCAAUGAGAUUUCCCUCUUCAUCCGCAGCAGUGUAUCUAUUCUAUACCUGGCUAUGGGAGAGACCCCUUGCAUGGGAGGGACCCCUUGCUAUGGCCCCUUUAGCCAGGCAGUGGGAUCUACCUGUGGCCCGGCCUCCCUAAUGUCAUUCACAUUGAAUGGGGAUGAGGUCGGACAGUGGCUCAUAGAGCCGAGUAUGAGCCCUAGCUGUGGGCUAGAAAUGUCCUUAAUAAACAUCCUUAUUUUUCUGUUUUGUCUGCCUCCCUGGAGUGGGAAAAACCUAGACUAAAGCAAGUGUCAGAAGUUUCCUCCCCAGUUGAAGGUUCAUCUGCACAUGGAAUUUGGAAAGAAGGGAAAGGCCCAGGUCGACUAGAGUAAAAAAGGAGUUUAUAUAUUUAUAAAUGCCAAAUAAAUACCAGAGGCCACCCAACGCCCCCUCCCAGACAGGGCUGUCUCCCCCAGCCCUAGGCUUCUAGGGUGUGAGACAUCUUGGCCCCAAGCUAUAGCCCAAGAGCAGCUGUCAGUCUGUGCUACCAGGGAACUGAGUGAGGAUGAUCUGUCCAGCCAAGUUUCACUCCCCCUGUGUGAGGGGCCCCCAUAGCCACAGGCCUGGGUCCCUGUAUAGGACCCUAAGGGUGAAAGACUCAGGGGGAGAAGGUGGCCAUCUCGAGUGAGACCCGCUGCCACAGCUCCUUGGUCUGUUUGCUGCGCUUGAGGUUCUGUAGGAUGUCGUUGAACUGCAUCAUGCCCAUGGGCGUCAGGCAGAAGGCGCUGCGGGCACUCCGGAUCGCAUUCACAAAGUCGUCGUAGUCCGCAGGAGUCAGUAAACAAAUGAAGAGCUAGAGGAAGGGUCCUCUGAAGAGCCACUGGCACAACUGCAGGAAACGUGGGAAGAAUAAGUACGUGAGAGCCAGUUGGGAGAAACAAAGUUGUGCAGGCCAAGGGCAUAAAGCCCAAUCUCGAAGGCGCAAAGGUGCAGGUUGCGGUGAGGACCCUGGUGGCCCCCUGAGGAAGAUGGAUGUGUGAAAAUGGAAGUGCUGCUGUUGCCCCCUGCCUUGAUCAGCACUGUCUUCGCCAGCUCGAAGUAGAAGUGUGCAGCUGCCUCUGAUGGCUGAUUGGUCUUCGCCCGGGCUCCUCCACUGGCACUGGCCCGGCGACUUCCACUGGAGGAUGAGGAGCCCAGGGAGUCCGAAGAAGAGCUGCUAAUGCUGUCACUGUCCUGACCUCGACCCCAGGAGGUGGGGGCCCAGCCCCCUCGAAGUGGUCUCCGGCUUAAGGUGGGGGAACUAUCCGAUGUUGUUUCAGGGGCACUGCUGUCAAUGCUGGCCAUGCCUAACCCCCAAGAGAAGUCAGUCUCAGAAGUCAGGAGUCCCAGAUGUUAAGACUCCAACCUUCAGGAUUAUCCUUCCCUCUAUGCUAGCCCACAGGCUAUCCUACCUGUGUGCUUCUUCUUAGGCCGUCCUGGGGACCCCCAUCCCCGUCCAUUAUAGCCUCCACGACUGCCAAGUGCCAAGCGGCUAGGAACCUUCCCUUCUGGCCUUGGGGUCAAAGCUGCCUCAGAUGGAAGACCCUCACAGGGGGAAUGUGGGGAACUCUCUAGGUGAGGAAAACAGGACGCUGGGAUGAGCCCAGGAAAGGGGACCUCAACAUAGGUCCACACCAUUCAUCCCCCCUGCCCAGUGCCCCCACCUCACCAGGCACAUUCUUCUCUGUGAAGCCCUCAGUGGGGCCUGGCCCAGCCCCUGCCACACUCCCUGGUUGAGCAGGCCCUGCAGAGCCUGAGGUCAGUGGUUGCAGGGCCCCUGGGGCAGAUGGGCCCCCGUGCUUUGAAGGAGACCUCUGGCUGGCUGUGGUUGGGCGGCUAGAUGAGUAGAAAGAACUCAGCGUCUGUGGCUUAUGUGUCUGGCUCUCUCGGUCCAAGAGUUUGUCUAAGAUCUGGAAGACAGAAGCAGUGACCUCCAGAGAAGCAGUGACAGGAUGCCCUUUAGCUCCUGACUUCUAUUACCUUCCUUUCUCCUUGAAACAGCCAAUUGCUACAUCCUCAGGGAGCCUUCCCCACUUACAACCACAGGAUGACCUCCUGGUUUACAUGUCUUUUUGUAACUUAUUUAACCCCAACAUAUCUUGGUAUCCUCCAUUAACACCACAGGGCAGAAUAUACUGAUAGUCAAUAAAUACUGAAAUAAGUGAAUGAA
rnacentral:lncRNA from 1 species